AACGCGGAGUCGUGAUAGGGUCUGUUAUAUUAAAUUGAGAGGAAAAAUGUCUUUCUUUGAUUUUUCUGGCUGAGCCCUGGGGUCAGCAGAACAGAGCACAGUGUUGGCUGGUAGCUGAUUUAAUAUUCAACUGUUUCCUAAACACAAGAACAAGAGACCAAGGCUAGGAUAGUGCCAUACAGAAUGAUGCUGUUACCUAUCUCUAAAUAGCAGGACUUGGAUAAGGAGAAUUCUACUGACUUAGAGGAUAAUGAGUCUGUUACCACUCAUUUAAGAAUCACAUCGACCGUCUUGUUUACCAAAGCGAUGCUGGAGUUCAGCACAGAAUUCUAACGAUGAGGUGAACACACGCAUGUCUUUUGGUGCCUCACCUAGAAGCUCGCUUACCUCUGCUGCUUGGGAUUUCUGGGUGUUCAAAGGAUUCUGGGUUCUCUCCACAUGUGUCCAGACUGCUAUGCCCUGUUGGCUAGAUACUCAAGUUCUCCGGGCACCAGCCUUCAUGAUGCUUCCCACUGACGUGAAAGCACAUACACUCUUCUUUAUAUUUUUGGUUUCCUGGGCUAGAUAAAGUAGACAAGCUCUGCUGAUAAGCUUUCACAUAAUCUAAAAUUAUUUUGGCAGCAAGAGAAAGGCAGGAGAUAAGAGAGGAACACAGAAAGGGGGAGUUGGGUUGGCAUCUUCUACCUUCCAUUCACAUAGUAUUUUAUAAUUUCACAAAGCCCUUGCACAUUCAUUUUAUCAUGAUGGUAUGGCAGCAAAUAAUUGUACCAUGAUCCAUAGACUUGAAUUCCAACCCUACUUCUGACUCCUUUUAACUCAUUUAUUAAAUAUAUUUUGAGUGCUUUCUACACUCUACAAAGCUCUGGGGAAUACAAAGAUGAAAAAGCCAUCAUCCUUGUCUUUGAGAGAUUCACCAUUUAGUAGAGAAGCAUGUAAACAUGUAAAAAAAUGUGCUAAAAGUACAGCGUGAUAAUGCAUGUAAAAAGGCAUAGUACACAGCUUUAGAAAUACACCCGAUAAAUGUGAGCUAUUUUUAACAUGAUUGCUGUUAUCACUAUUAAGUGCUAACAGAAGUGUGUUCAAUAUGCUACAGGAUCACUAAGGAAUGUUUGCACCUGGGGUGCUAAGUGGGGACACAGGGGAAGGCUUCAAAGGAGAAAUUGCUGUUGACCAGAAUCUUAAAAGAAUGAAAAGAAUGGAAGAUCCAUAAGAUGGAGGUCCCUACAUUUUGCUGGCCAUCAGUCGGGAGCUUCCCUCAGCUACUAAAGGCUGUCCCUCAUUUCCUGCCCCAUGGCCCUCUCUACAACAUAGCAGUCUGCUUCUUCAAGGCAAACAGGAGAGCAUCUGCUGCAGUUUUGAAUUUCUAUGACUUCUUCUGUCUCUGACCUCUAGACCCGGUUUGAAAAGUCUCACCUGAUUAGGUCAGCCCACCCAGACUUAAGGAGAAUGGAUUGUACAGGACAUGCACACCAGGGGCUGGGAACCUAGGGGGCCAUCUUCGGAUUCUGCCUACACACCUUCUCUUAGUACCCUAUAAAAAAAAAUUCUUCACCUUCUUGAAAUUCUUAUAGUUCCCGUGUGGUCUGUCAUCAUUCACUCCGUGUAAACACUCAAUUGUAUCCUGCCUCGUAUUACACUUGAGCUGUUGCAAGACGAGUCUCUUCAACUUCCAGAGCCAGGAGGAUACCUUCCCUAUUUUUUUAAUUUAUUUAUUUUUUUGGUAUCUACUUGUACCUCCAUUCAUUGCUGGAGAGACUAGAAGUUAAAAAGGUGCUGGCAUUUUUUCACUUUUUCAUCUUGUGUUGAACUUUGCUGUGCAUAUGUUCCUUAUUGCCAUGCUAAUAAUACUCAGAACAAUGACCUUGCUAUGAAAGAAUGCUCAAAGGCCUCAGGACAUCCCACUGGAAUGCCACGCCACAUGAUAUCUCUGCGGAGGCAGUCGGUACAGUGCUGUAGAUCAGAGAUACUGAAUUUUGGAGCCUCAAGGUAACUGGAGAAACAGUCUUAUUUGUGAACAAGAAUAAAUUCUCUGCUUA
ensembl:lncRNA